rnacentral:rRNA from 1 species
CUACGGGAGGCUCCAGUGAGGAAUUUUGCGCAAUGGGGGAAACCCUGACGCAGCAACGCCGCGUGGGUGAUGAAGGCCUUCGGGUCGUAAAACUCUGUCAAGUGGGAAGAACCUACGUAGUGCUAAUAUCCCUAUGUACUGACGGUACCACUGAAGGAAGCACCGGCUAACUCCGUGCCAGCAGCCGCGGUAAUACGGAGGGUGCAAGCGUUAUUCGGAAUUAUUGGGCGUAAAGGGCGCGUAGGCGGCCCGGUAAGUCAGGUGUGAAAGCCCGGGGCUCAACCCCGGAAGUGCAUUUGAUACUGCAAGGCUUGAGUAUGGGAGAGGGAAGUGGAAUUCCUGGUGUAGAGGUGAAAUGCGUAGAUAUCAGGAGGAACACCGGUGGCGAAGGCGACUUCCUGGACCAAUACUGACGCUGAGGCGCGAAGGCGUGGGUAGCAAACAGGAUUAGAUACCCGAGUAGUC